AGUCAAGUAAUUAAGUGCAUGUGGUGGAUGCCUUGGCAGUCAGAGGCGAUGAAAGACGUGAUAGCCUGCGAAAAGCUCCGGGGAGGCGGCAAAUAUCCUUUGAUCCGGAGAUGUCUGAAUGGGGGAACCCACCUACUUUAAGGUAGGUAUUGCAACAUGAAUACAUAGUGUUGCAAGGCGAACGAGGGGAAGUGAAACAUCUCAGUACCCUUAGGAAAAGAAAUCAAUUGAGAUUCCCUCAGUAGCGGCGAGCGAACGGGGAUCAGCCCAUUAAGUUAUGUGUGUUUUAGUGGAACGCUCUGGGAAGUGCGAACGUAGAGGGUGAUAUUCCCGUACACGAAAGGGCACACAUAAUGAUGACGAGUAGGGCGAGGCACGUGAAACCUUGUCUGAAUAUGGGGGGACCAUCCUCCAAGGCUAAAUACUCCUGACUGACCGAUAGUGAACCAGUACCGUGAGGGAAAGGCGAAAAGAACCCCUGUGAGGGGAGUGAAAUAGAUCCUGAAACCGCAUGCAUACAAGCAGUGGGAGCACCUUCGUGGUGUGACUGCGUACCUUUUGUAUAAUGGGUCAGCGACUUAUAUUCAGUAGC
rnacentral:rRNA from 1 species